GUCCAUCAUCUUCUGUGUCAGUGCAGCUUCUGUUCCCUCUAUUUGUUUUAGCCACUAUAUGAACACGGCAGGAACAAGAGGAAUAGAAAAAGAUGAGAAUACAGCAUCAUUUGGAAGAGCAUCAUUGAAAGUGAUGACUCCCUUACAACACAGUCUGGCCAGUUCCCACUGAAGUCAGUAGGAGCUUCACCAUUGACUUUAGCAGGAGCAAGAUCUGUUACUGAACGACAUGGACAAUUAUGACACGAGAAGGAAAAGGCAGCAGGAUAAAGUGUGUGUGUGUGUGUGUGUGUGUGUGUGUGUGUGUGU